rnacentral:pre_miRNA from 1 species
AGUGGUAUAGCUGGGUCAAAUGGUGGUUCCAUUCCUAGUUUUUUGAGGAAUCUCAGUACUGCUUUCCAGAGUGGUUGCACCAAUUUGCAGUUCCACCAGCAAU